GGGACAGUAUAGUUACUAAGUAUUUAAACUCAUGUGAGAAAACAUUACAAUGAAGGAGAUUUCUUCAAAGAAAUAACUCAGAACUUUAAAAUAAAAAGUUAAAGCUCAGAAAAAUACACAAAUACAAAACUUAGUGUUUACCAGUCAAUAAUAAUUCUGAAUAUGUUUAAAAAUGACAAUCCAAACACAUUGCAGUCUUGAAACAAGUUGAGGACAGAAAAAACCAAUGAAGGAAAGCUCUUAUGGGAAUACAGAUUUUCAGUGAAAAAAAUGAGCAAAUUAAAACCCUUCUCAGUCAGAGCAAAUAGGGUUUUCUCUUUGUGAAGUGAAUUGCCAUUUUUGGAGAAAGGUUUAAUUUAAUUUAGAGAGAUAAUUUAUAGUGUAGUUCCUGACUCUCAGCAUCAAUGUUCAAAGAAUGUUAAAAGUAAUUUUGUAAAGUACUUGCUGUGAACCCAGCCCAGUAUUUUGUAGACUGUUUUACUUCCCUGGGGCAGGUCCUACUACUACUGCCAGUCUUCAUUCUUCUUGAUAAUUGUUAGAAAUGCUCAGGGAAAGCGUUUCUUCAUCAACUUCACUGAAGGCUGUAUCUUCAACUUCAUAGUUGCAAGAACUUUAAAAAUCAGAUGCUUUAGAACCUCAAUUUCAGACUGAGGAAGGAAAGUAAAGAAUUUGUUAGUUCCCUUCUUUAAUUUACUAUGACAUCAUACUUGUGAAUAUUUAGAAUUUCAAGAGAGCAUUGUUAACAUCAAUUGCUGAACCCUUCAAUUCAGUUUAAAGACAUAAUCAACAAUAAAUGUAAAUUCAACUGGGCUAAUAGAUUUUCUUGUUUUUUUUCUUUUCAAAGUAAUAAUAAAUGUACUUUGCCCAAUAAUUCUAUGUUGCUGUAGAAAACAAAUGUAAUAUGUGCUGUUAUACUAUGCCCUACACGUUUAAGGUUUCUCUGAUUUCUCUUUUUCAAAGUUUACUUAAAAUUGUAUAGAAAUAUUCCCAAAGUUAGCAUUUAAGAAUUAACUCAAACAAAAUAUUAAUAAUAUACUAGAAUGUUGUCUGCUCAAAUGUGUUGGACAAAAUUUAUCAUGUAUAAUUUUAAUGAAAUUUAAUGAAUCUAGGUCUAUUCAAUGCCAAUGCAAUCUCUGUGUAAUGAAAUAUCCACACACUCUAUUGUAUAUUCUGUUUAUAUAUAAUCCAG
rnacentral:lncRNA from 1 species